CUGCCUCGUCAAUCACCACCGUCACUGCCUCCACCACCGUCAUAUAAUCUCAACCCGCUAUGGCGCCAUAAUCAUGUCCUCGUCGCUACACCGCCACUAUAAUCACUUCUCUUCCAAAAUCUGCACGAUACCUAAGAACGGCAACGAAAUAGAAAGAGGGGAAAAAAAGAGAAUACACAUCAGCGGUAUUCCGUUGUCGGCGACCAGCUUCACUUCUUCUCCAACCUCAAUCCAACCCAAUCCAUUUCCCAUCAUUGUAGACAUCAGAGAAAAGAAAACCCAUAUUUAUUUUCAGUUUAUUGGCCAAAUCAAUCAGAACAAAGCAAAGAGUACGCGAACUCCAAAAAUGGGUUCCAAGUUACUUUCUCUAAGAAGGCUCUCAACGCUUCUAAAACCUCACUUUCAAUCUCCUCCUACUUCUUAUUAUUCUUCAAAAUUUCACCACUCUAGUUCUGUGCUUCUACUAGCUUCCAGAGUUCUCCGUCAACAUUCCAACACUCUCAGUCCUCCUGGCUCUUCUGGUUGUUGUUCUAGAAGCUUCUGCUCUCGCCAGUUGGAUCUGGAUGUGGACUCUCAAGGCCCUGCUACUAUCGAUUAUCGUUCUCUUCUGCAGGAAGAUGAAUUUCACAGACUAGCUGAUUCCACAAUCCAUGACCUUCAGGAGAAAUUGGAGGAAUAUGGCGAUAGUUUUCAAAUUGAUGGGCUUGACAUUGAUUAUGGGGUGAGAUUGAUUGAGAAAUAGUUGUUUUUAUUUAAAAGUUAUUUGUGAUUUAACGGGUUUGUUUAUGCGUUUUGUUAGAAUGAGGUUUUGACUCUUAAGCUCGGGGAUUUAGGCACCUAUGUGUUGAACAAGCAAACACCCAAUAGACAACUUUGGUUGUCUUCUCCAGUGAGUGGUCCAUCCAGGUUUGAUUGGGAUCAGAAUUCUCAAGCUUGGGUUUAUAGGCGGACAAAAGCAAAUUUAUUGACAAUUUUGGAAAGUGAAUUGGAGCAACUAUGU
rnacentral:misc_RNA from 1 species